rnacentral:rRNA from 1 species
GUGCCAGCAGCCGCGGUAAUACGAAGGGGGCUAGCGUUGUUCGGAAUUACUGGGCGUAAAGCGCACGUAGGCGGAUACUUAAGUUAGGGGUGAAAUCCCAGAGCUCAACUCUGGAACUGCCUUUAAUACUGGGUAUCUCGAGUCCGAGAGAGGUGAGUGGAAUUCCGAGUGUAGAGGUGAAAUUCGUAGAUAUUCGGAGGAACACCAGUGGCGAAGGCGGCUCACUGGCUCGGUACUGACGCUGAGGUGCGAAAGCGUGGGGAGCAAACAGGAUUAGAAACCCGUGUAGUCC